GUUAUUUUGUUACAUUACUAGAAUUGUGGCAGUCCUGGAAGCAGUCAUCAAAGUUUAUACCUUUACCCAGAACCCACAGCAAGUCCAUGUGUUUGAAACAUGUGCAAACCCAAAAGGUCUCUGUGUGUUAUGUCCCAAUAGCAACAAUUCUCUCCUAGCAUUUCCUGGAAGAAAGACGGGACACGUACAAAUUGUCGACUUGGCCAACACUGAAAAAGCACCACUUGACAUCCCAGCUCACGAGGCAGCUCUAAGCUGUAUAGCUCUUAAUCUUCCAGGCUCAAAAUUGGCCACAGCUUCAGAAAAAGGUACCCUCAUCCGAGUGUUUGACACAAUGACGGGAAG